rnacentral:rRNA from 1 species
CCUACGGGAGGCAGCAGUGAGGAAUAUUGGUCAAUGGUCGGGAGACUGAACCAGCCAAGCCGCGUGAGGGAGGAAGGUACAGAGUAUCGUAAACCUCUUUUGUCAGGGAACAAAGGCGGGGACGUGUCCCCGGAUGAGUGUACCUGAAGAAAAAGCAUCGGCUAACUCCGUGCCAGCAGCCGCGGUAAUACGGAGGAUGCGAGCGUUAUCCGGAUUUAUUGGGUUUAAAGGGUGCGGAGGCUGUUUUUUAAGUCAGCGGUCAAAGUCCGGGGCUCAACCCCCGCCCCGCCGUUGAAACUGGCAGUCUCGAGUUGGAGAGAAGUAUGCGGAAUGCGCGGUGUAGCGGUGAAAUGCAUAGAUAUCGCGCAGAACUCCGAUUGCGAAGGCAGCUUGCCGGCUCCACACUGACGCUGAGGCACGAAAGCGUGGGUAUCGAACAGGAUUAGAUACCCCAGUAGUC